rnacentral:rRNA from 1 species
UACGUAGGGUGCGAGCGUUAAUCGGAAUUACUGGGCGUAAAGCGUGCGCAGGCGGUUCGUUAAGUCAGCUGUGAAAGCCCCGGGCUCAACCUGGGAAUUGCGGUUGAAACUGGCGAACUAGAAUCUGGCAGAGGGGGGUGGAAUUCCACGUGUAGCAGUGAAAUGCGUAGAGAUGUGGAGGAACACCGAUGGCGAAGGCAGCCCCCUGGGUUAACACUGACGCUCAGGCACGAAAGCGUGGGGAGCAAACAGG